GACGAACGCUGCCGCGUGCCUAAUACAUGCAAGUGGGACGCAAGGGAACACACUGUGCUUGCACACCGUGUUUUCUUGAGUCGCGAACGGGUGAGUAACGCGUAGGUAACCUGCCUAUUAGCGGGGGAUAACUAUUGGAAACGAUAGCUAAUACCGCAUAAUAUUAAUUAUUGCAUGAUAAUUGAUUGAAAGAUGCAAGCGCAUCACUAGUAGAUGGACCUGCGUUGUAUUAGCUAGUUGGUAAGGUAAGAGCUUACCAAGGCGACGAUACAUAGCCGACCUGAGAGGGUGAUCGGCCACACUGGGACUGAGACACGGCCCAGACUUCUACGGGAGGCAGCAGUAGGGAAUCUUCGGCAAUGGACGAAAGUCUGACCGAGCAACGCCGCGUGAGUGAAGAAGGUUUUCGGAUCGUAAAGCUCUGUUGUAAGUCAAGAACGUGUGUGAGAGUGGAAA
rnacentral:rRNA from 1 species